GACGAACGCUGGCGGCGUGCUUAACACAUGCAAGUCGAACGGUGAAGCGCCUUCCUUUUUGGUGGGUGUGGAUGAGUGGCGAACGGGUGAGUAACACGUGAGUAACCUGCCCCCUUCUUCUGGAUAACCGCAUGAAAGUGUGGCUAAUACGGGAUAUUCUGGGUCUGUCGCAUGAUGGGUCUGGGAAAGAUAUUGUUUCGGUGGGGGAUGGGCUCGCGGCCUAUCAGCUUGUUGGUGGGGUGAUGGCCUACCAAGGCGGUGACGGGUAGCCGGCCUGAGAGGGUGGACGGUCACACUGGGACUGAGACACGGCCCAGACUCCUACGGGAGGCAGCAGGGGGGAAUAUGGCACAAUGGGCGCAAGCCUGAUGCAGCGACGUCGCGGGAGGGAUGGAGGCCUUCGGGUUGUGAACCUCUUUCGCCAGUGAAGCAGGCCUGCCUCGUUUGUGGGUGGGUUGACGGUAGCUGGAGAAGAAGCGCCGGCUAACUACGUG
rnacentral:rRNA from 1 species